AGCUGGUCCGAUGGUAGUGGGUUAUCAGAACUUAUUAACAUUAGUGUCACUGAAGUUGGUAUACAACUCUCCACUGCUAAAUUUAACUGGCUUUAAAA
rnacentral:Y_RNA from 1 species